CCCCUCUCAGGAUGGCACCUGGAGAGUUUCCAGUACUCUACCAGUCUCGGCUAAAGGAGGGAGAGUCAAGUAGAGGCAUGCCCAUUCCAUUCCUAGCUUGGGCAGUGGCUAGCGAAUGGAAGGCAAUCUCCUUAAAGU